rnacentral:rRNA from 1 species
GUUGAACGCUGGCGGCGUGCCUAAUACAUGCAAGUCGAGCGAACGGACGAGAAUCUUGCUUCUCUGCUGUUAGCGGCGGGCGGGUGAGUAACACGUGGAUAACCGACCUAUAAGACUGAGGUAACUUCGGGAAACCUGAGCUAAUACCGGAUAAUAUUUUGAACCGCAUGGUUCAACAGUGCACACCCGUCUUGCUGUCACUUAUAGAUGGAUCCUCGCUGCAUUAGCUAGUUGGUAGGGUAACGGCUUACCAAGGCGACGAUGCGUAGCCGACCUGAGAGGGUGAUCGGCCACACUGGAACUGAGACACGGUCCAGACUCCUACGGGAGGCAGCAGUAGGGAAUCUUGGGCAAUGGGCGAAAGCCUGAUGGAGCAACGCCGCGUGAGUGAAGAAGGUCUUCGGAUUGUAAAGCACUGUUAGUUGGGAAGAAGAGAAGUGAGAUGAAACGUUCAUGUCUUGACGUUACCAACAGAGAAAGCACCGGCUAACUUCGUG